GCAAGUCGAACGAAGUAGCAAUACUUAGUGGCAGACGGGUGAGUAACAUGUGGGUAUCUACCCUUUGGCCUGGAAUAACACGAGGAAACUUGUGCUAAUACCGGAUAAGUCUUUACGGAGAAAGCUUUAUGCACCAUUGGAUGAGCCCGCACUUGAUUAGUUUGUUGGUAGGGUAAUGGCCUACCAAGACUAUGAUCAAUAGCUGAUUUGAGAGGAUGAUCAGCCACAUUGGGACUGAGACACGGCCCAAACUCCUACGGGAGGCAGCAGUGGGGAAUCUUGCACAAUGGAGGAAACUCUGAUGCAGCGAUGCCGCGUGAGUGAAGAAGGCCUUUGGGUUGUAAAGCUCUUUCGUCGGGGAAGAAAAUGACUGUACCCGAAUAAGAAGGUCCGGCUAACUUCGUGCCAGCAGCCGCGGUAAUACGAAGGGACCUAGCGUAGUUCGGAAUUACUGGGCUUAAAGAGUUCGUAGGUGGUUGAAAAAGUUGGUGGUGAAAUCCCAGAGCUUAACUCUGGAACUGCCAUCAAAACUUUUCAGCUAGAGUAUGAUAGAGGAAAGCAGAAUUUCUAGUGUAGAGGUGAAAUUCGUAGAUAUUAGAAAGAAUACCAAUUGCGAAGGCAGCUUUCUGGAUCAUUACUGACACUGA
rnacentral:rRNA from 1 species